rnacentral:rRNA from 1 species
CAGUCGAGCGGUAGGCUCCUUCGGGAGUACACGAGCGGCGAACGGGUGAGUAACACGUGAACAAUCUGCCCUUCUCAUCGGAAUAACCAUUGGAAACGAUGGCUAAUACCGAAUAUGACAACGGAUCGCAUGAUCUGUUGUGGAAAGCUCCGGCGGAGAAGGAUGAGUUCGCGGCCUAUCAGCUUGUUGGUGAGGUAAUAGCUCACCAAGGCGAUGACGGGUAGCCGGCCUGAGAGGGUGACCGGCCACACUGGGACUGAGACACGGCCCAGACUCCUACGGGAGGCAGCAGUGGGGAAUAUUGGACAAUGGGCGAAAGCCUGAUCCAGCAACGCCGCGUGAGGGAUGACGGCCUUCGGGUUGUAAACCUCUUUCAGCGGGGACGAAGCGAAAGUGACGGUACCCGCAGAAGAAGGACCGGCCAACUACGUGCCAGCAGCCGCGGUAAUACGUAGGGUCCGAGCGUUGUCCGGAAUUAUUGGGCGUAAAGGGCUCGUAGGCGGUUUGUCACGUCGGGAGUGAAAACUCAGGGCUCAACCCUGAGCGUGCUUUCGAUACGGGCAGACUAGAGGUAUUCAGGGGAGAACGGAAUUCCUGGUGUAGCGGUGGAAUGCGCAGAUAUCAGGAGGAACACCGGUGGCGAAGGCGGUUCUCUGGGAAUUACCUGACGCUGAGGAGCGAAAGCAUGGGGAGCGAACAGGAUUAGAUACCCUGGUAGAAUCACUAGUGAAUUC